rnacentral:misc_RNA from 1 species
GUACUCUCACACUCUCACUCUUUGGAGUGGGAGCGGUGGACUUGGGUGUUGCUGCUUUACCGCGGCUCACCUCAAAUGGAGUAGUGCACCUCUCGGUUGGACAUAGUACGGCGUGAUAAGUGUCUUCGCCGGCACCUCACUUUUAGAGGGUGGCCGAUCGGGAGCUCUGUGCUUCAAACUGUCCUUGGACAACAACUGACA